AGGAGCCAUAGCCCUGGCACAAGCAGAAAUGCAAGCUGCCGUCACCUGCUGUUUCAUGACUUCUGGCUCAGAAGAGAAGCACAGGACAACCCAUGCACUGGUUACUCACUAAUGGUGAUGGUUCCUGUGUGACUGUCUACAUGGACUAACCAGCUAACCAAAGAACAACCUUCCUGCAAGUGAGAAAGGUAAAGCAAGACCAUUCAGGCUGAGAGAUCCCUAGAGCUACUCCUGACUCUCCUCCUAGCUCUUCUGACUGCUCUGGCAGCGUGGUGCCAAGGCUUCUGGUAAGGCAAUUACAGUUCUCUCUGCCUUCACAACAGUCUUGCCUUCCCGGGCGUAUGCAGACGACCGGCUAGUUGUGCAAGGGACCCAUCUGUGGCACAGAUGAAUACACGAUGUGGAUAAGCUACUACUAACUAAUAGUCUUUACUAAGCCAGAUCUUUAUGAGCAACAGCUUGACAUGACCUCCUAACCUCAGUUUGUCCCCAUUUUUCUUCCCAGUAGCUUAUUUCUGUCGGUCACUUCCUUCCCUAAAUGCUCCCUGGCCCUGGAUAUUUAAGUCACACGGUAUUUCUUUGUACUCUCUGUGUGGAUGAAUUAAAUUGUUAUCAACACGA